rnacentral:lncRNA from 1 species
AUGGGCGCUUCCCUCCUGGUACUCUACACCGUUGGCAGGUCUCCCCUCCUCCCCCUCAGGCCUCCUGCUCUUGCUCCCCGCUGGCCCUGGGUCACAGGUUUAAAGCUGGAAGAAGCUCAUCUUGAAGAUAAGGAAACAGAGUGGUGUGGUAGUGGGUGCUCCGGCCAUCUUGGGAGAAUGGACGCCUCCCUCUCUGGGGAGCCCCGAGAAAGGACGUGGUCCAAUGGAAGCCAGUUGCGUUGUAGAAGCCGCCUGGUGAAGGUCCAGACACGUUGUCUGGCCUUUGUGCCCUCCCUUUCAGUCCUCCAUCCGAGGAACCUGUGGACCAAUGUGGCUAUGGAACUACUAAGAAUCAGUGGAGUUUCCUUUCACCCCAGAGGUGGCUGACUCCUUCAGGAAUCAUGCACAGAGGACUUUGGAAGCCUUUAUGAGGAAAUUAGCCAGCCAAAGGAAGAGAAGAUAUUAUUAUUAUUUUCCACUGUUUGAUUCAUCUAGCAAUCAUUAGAUGAUUACAGCUCUUGCAGUUUGAUGGAUGGUGGAGUCUGUCUUGUCACUCUCUCUCUGAGUGGCACUGUAGCUGCUCAGUAAUUACUGUGCAGCAGAGAAAGGGG